rnacentral:tRNA from 1 species
CAGAGCGUAGCUGAACCAGCAAAGCAUCUCCCUUACACUGAGAAGACAUCCGUGCAAGUCGGAUCGAACUGA